rnacentral:rRNA from 1 species
AUUGAACGCUGGCGGCAGGCUUAACACAUGCAAGUCGAGCGAGCGGCGGACGGGUGGGUAAUGUCUGGGAAACUGCCUGAUGGAGGGGGAUAACUACUGGAAACGGUAGCUAAUACUGCAUACCAUCAGAUUUGCCCAGAUGGGAUUAGCUAGUAGGUGGGGUAAUGGCUCACCUAGGCGACGAUCCCUAGCUGGUCUGAGAGGAUGACCAGCCACACUGGAGCUGAGAUACGGUCCAGACUCCUACGGGAGGCAGCAUUGGGGAAUAGUGCUCAAUUGGCGCGAGCCUGAUGCAGCCAUGCCGCGUGUGGGAAGAAGGCCUUCGGCUUGUAAAGCACUUACAGCGAGGGUGCGUUACUCGCAGAAGAAGCACCGUCUAACUCCGUGCCAGCAGCCGCGGUAAUAC